AUGAAAAAAAAAACAAUCCGAAAGCUAUUUGUUUUAAUACGGCAAUGCAUAUAACAACUUUGGUAAAAGAAAGAAUGUCGCAUGAAGCUACGUAGUUUUGCGGCUGCGUAUUACGCAGGUGACUAUUAUUUAAAUAUAUUUUUGUCGACUUUAUGUUUAUUUUUCUAUAGUAUGAAAAAUAAACAAUGUUUUGUUUUAGCGAAACAUUCAAAAAUAUCAGAGUUCAUAUCCAUCGAAGAUCGAUCGUGUAAUUUUAAUGCAGCUCCGUAUCGUUUUUGCAAUUAUAUAUUUCCCAUUUUGUGUAAUAAAUAUUUUUCUAUGAGAUACGGUUAAGUAACGCUAAAGCGAAUAUCCGGGGUGUUUGAAAUUAAGGCACCAAAUUUUGAUGAAACUGUAAGCAUUUUUUUUGUAAAUGAUAUUUUGCACACUGCAUUGUACGCUGCGAAAUAUUUUUUAAGUAUUUUCUGUUAAUAAAAAUUUUACAAAAUUAAGUUAAACCUUUACAAUGUUACUUUUGCCAUAAUAUUGGACAAAACGGUUUUUUUUUCUAAAAUAGGAGGCGUGCCAUUUUUUUUUUCCUAAAAAUAUUCCAUAAAACAAAUAUGGUAAUAACGUCACUCACUGUUUUUCUUUUAAACAAGAAACAUAAAAAAAAAUCCUUUCGGUGCUGAAACGUAAGGUACAAAACAUCAAUGAAAUAUGCAGAGAUAGCUUUCCGACAAGGUUCCAAGUUCACGAUCAAUGGCUUGAUGCGUCAAGUUCCUACGUCGGCUGAGUAAGCGGUACUACCAAAUAUUGAGCGUCAUCGAUCAAAGUCGGAAAUUAAGAAUAAAAAUUCUGGCAAUUGGGUGUACGAAAGAAUAUAUCAAAGUCUAGACGGAUCAAUGGAAAGAUAAGGGCGCAGAUUAAAAAACAUUUUAAAAUGAAUCAUUCUGUAAAACUAUGUUUUACAAGAACUGUCACGGACGUUUUACGAGGCGGCCGAUACGAAUAUCCAAUUUGACUUCGGCAAGAUUAGAAAAAGUAGCAGCUCUAGGAUAUUAUACAGUAAACACUAGAUAACCCAUAAUUUAUGAGUUUAAUCUUCGGAAAGGCGAUUACCGCUUAUGUUUUAAUCGGUAGUUCAAAGUUGAUGACUUGUCACGGAUUACUAAAACGAAGGGUCUUGGUUACAGUACAUACCGGGUGUCGCAACGAUAGACUAAAUUCAAAUAUUUAGAAUUAUACCGGGCGCGUCACAAAAGUAUGAUAAGAUAGGGUCUAAAUUUGGUCUAGCGGUAAAGUUUUGCAUUUUCAUCACGUGGCAAAAUUAAUAUUUUCUCAGUGAAUACAAAAGUUACACUUUUAUGAACUUAAGAACUAAGCGUCAUAUCUGUGCUUCGUCCAGAAAUAAUCGGCAUUCAUAAUACACUUUGUGUAUAAUAUAAUAUUGCAAACUGUGAGAUUUAAAAAAAUCUCGUAUUUUUUUACAUGAUGUAGCCUGUAAAAAAAUCUCAUAUUUUUUUUACAUGACGUAGCCUGUUAGCGUAUGGGGCGAUUGUCUGGUGGACAAGAACCACGCAGGGGGAGGCGAUAAGGCGGCUGAGUAGCGUGCAAAGACUAGCGAGUCUGUGCGCUACGGGGGCCAUGAGCACAACGCCCACUGUAGCGCUGGAGGUCCUACUGAACAUCCCACCAAUACAGAUCUAUAAACAAGGGGAAGCAAGAUCCGCAGUAUAUAGAUUACUGCAAGGCCAGUCCCCAAUAAUUGGUGGACAUAGCACGAAACAUAACAAGCUUUACUUGGAGGUAAGGGCGGACAAUGUCCUAGGGCUGCCUACGGACAGCACAACACCUAAGUAUUGCUUCGUUAACCACUACAGGACUCAAAUCCCUGCCAGAGAAGACUGGGAAAACGGGCCACCAAUCAAGGCAGAAAUAACCUGGUAUGAUGGCUCAAAAACUCAAGAAGGAGUAGGAGCCGGAAUAUAUGAACCCAGGACGAAAAUGAAAAUCUCUAUUCCAAUGGGUAAGCCAGCAACAGUAUUCCAAGCAGAGAUCACUGCACUAGAACACUGUGCAAGAGAAAUAAAAGCGAGGAAGAUCCGUAACAAAUCACUUGCAAUUUACACCGAUAGUCAAGCGACUAUAAAGGCCCUGCAAUCUAAUAAAAUAACAUCCAAGUUAGUUCUGGACUGCCAUAAGGCAUUAAACGAGAUAACAAGCCAGAACAAAGUUACUCUAUCAUGGGUACCGGGGCACGGAGGGCAUAAAGGUAAUGAAGGCGCAGACGACGCAGCCCGCGAAGGGUCGUCCAUGCGCUUGAUUGGACCAGAACCCUUUUGUGGGGUGGCCAAACCCGUUGCAAAAACAGCCAUCAUGGAUUGGAUGGACCGAGAAUCCCGACGAUGGUGGAGGGACAUGCCGGGACAAAGACAAGCCAAGGAAUUCCUAAGGGGCCCAUCGGCCAAUUUUACAGAGGACCUACUAAGCUACAAUAGGAAAGCCGUAAGAAUAAUGGUAGGUCUGCGGACGGGCCACUGCAGGCGUAAGAGACAUCUAAGCCUGAUGGAAGUGGAAGAAAACACAGAAUGUAGAUUCUGUCAGGAAGAGGAGGAAACAACCGCACACGUACUGUGCCACUACGAAGGCCUAGCGAGAGUGCGUUUCCAUCUGCUGGGCGAUAUCAAACCAGAGGCAGAGAGAGAGAAGGAGCCAUUAUCGAAGUUGUUGAGUCUGGUUAGAGAGACGAACCUGGAUAAAGCUCUAUAGCUAUGGAGAGAGUCACAAUAGAUCCUCUGGGUAGCAGUGACGGACAGGCUGACUGCUAGCUCUCCCAACUGUUAAUCUUAAUCUUAAUCUUACAUGACGCAGCCACUCAACUAGUGUAGAAUUUAAGACCCUACAAUUUUUGCUAGAUAUGUCCUAUAUAUAUGUUUAAUAAUGUUCGACAAAUUUCAGUUCUUUCAUCAUUUUUUGUAAUAAAACCCACUAUCACCCGGCAUAUUUUAUUUGGAACUAAUAUUACCGGAGCGGUGAGACCCUACCUUACUUUAUCGUUGGGACACCCGGUACAGUGCCGAUACUUACAGGUGUGAAUCUAGGGAGAUUUAAAGAAAGUUAUUAUCAAUGUACGUCGUAAACCUUUUAAUUGUUGAACUCGAUGGUGUCAAAAAUGUUAAGACAAAAAUAACUUUCUUAUCACUAUUUACUUAAGAAAGUUAGUACGCACCUUUUUAUCAUUAAAGGGCAUUUUCUGACGCAAUUUUUUUAUGUAACAUUCGUACGGGGUGUGAACUGAAUUUUUUUGAAGAAAAAAUAAUACGCUUUGCUUUUUAAUUAAAUUAAUUAAAAAUGGAGCGAAUUUGGUCCAUCAUUUUCUCAUCGAUUCGGUGAUAUUGAUAUUUCGUAAGCACAAAUAUGAAUGGAAACAUUUUUAGAACAAAAACUAAUUUUCACCUUUCAUUAGAAGUUUUUUUUAACAUUUAAUACCUUCGAAAUUAAUAGUUUUUACGACAUACAUAUGUUUACAUCAACUUGUAAAAAUCACCCAAGGAUUCACAUCCUCGCAUCGUCACUCAAUUAAUAAACACCCUGUGUAUAAGAAUAUCGGGGUUUAUUGGUUUUCUUUCAAAGUUAAUUGGCAUAAAAAAAAGUUGAAUAAAACGAGAAAAAAAACGAAUUCCCCUGACAUUACAUCACUUAAAUCCGUUCUGUCAGUUUUCCAAGCCAACCUCUAAAUUUACUAAUUUUUCCUGGCGAACGGCAACCUUGCGUAUGCAUUAAACGACAAUAGCUUGGAUUCCAAGCCACUCUACACGCAUCGAGUGUUUGGUUUUCGUUUCUAGCGUUGAACUUUGUAACGAUCAUAGAUAAGGACAAAUUACACAUGCAUGAAUAUUUUUAUCUCCCUGAUUACCUACUAAUUCGCUGUAAUUAUAUACGAUCAUACCUACCGCAAUUUUACUGUACGACCACACGCAAGCAUUUCCGAACUUUGACACCGGCUUUUGUUUCAUUUAUUUGACCGUGAAAUUUAACCAAAGCCUGACGAAGCCUGAGAAUUCGUUAUAUAUAAUAAAAAAAAAAAGACGGCGGCUUUUUGAGAUUUCCAUAAAUCCUUUACCCCAAUUACUUUUUUAAACCGUCCCGAGAGUGACAUUUUGGUAGUUUACAUGAAAAUGAAGCCAAAGUCAGUUAAAGCUACUAGAGAUACAGAGGGCCCGCCUAAUGCCAAUAAUACACGAACUUGUGAAGCAACUAUGAACAUUUUUUUGAGAAAAUCCAAUCCACAAGUGCAUCUCGUUUUUAACCAAUGACCUUGCGUCAUUCGACAACCAACGUGGCCGCUGACAGAUCCUCAUUAAUUUUGGAUGGGGCAUGUUUACUGCAGUAUUUUCUCAAAAUCCUUAGAUCGCUUUGAAUGUUCUGGGAAAACGAGUUUCACAUAUGGAAAUCGGUGUUUAGAAAGAAAAUGGAGCAAAGGUUAGUGGGCGUUUAUGAUAUUCAAACUUCAAGUCUAGGCCCUAAUUUUCCAAACAUUACAUGUGAGAAUGGUAUUUUUCUAGACCUGACUAAUGAGCAGGAGAUUAGCCAUAUCAUAUCUCAACUGAAACAAAACUCAACCCCAGGCCAUGGCUGGGUGACACUCAAGGAGAUACAUAACCUAAAAAGAGAUAUUAUUAAUAAGGUUUUAAGGUACUUUUAUGUAUGUCCAAUUUUCAAACCUGGGGGAGAGAAUAUAUGAAUAAUACAGGAAAAUUGCGGUGAUAAGAAUCUUCUCGAAAAUUAUAGAGAAAAUAAUUAUUAUGACGGAAGUAUAUUCAAAUAGAACAUUUUCAGUAUGGUUUCGUUAAACAAAGCAGUUCACUGGGUGCAAUCUUCAACCUUAUUGACUAUGAUUCUAGGGCAGUUGAUAAAGAGCUUUUGGUAACAAUAGUAUUUGUUGAUUUAAAAAAGGCCUUAAACGUAGUUAGCAUUGAUGAAAAAACGUAAACUGGGAGGAAUAUUAUAUGCUGUGCCUGUUGAGUGAAUGCGAGAUUAGUCAAGGGUCUGUGCUGGGGCCAUUACUGGGCUCACUGUACGGGCUGAAUUAAAAAACAGCUGGACUUGGAGCACAAACUUCGUUUUUCCUGAUAAUACUGUGUUACAAGUUGGAGGAAACAAUACUGUAAAUAGUGACCUUAGUCUCUUCUGAAGUUGGCUACGAGUAAAAUAUAAGAAGCUACAAUUUAUAACAUUUAAACAAAAAAAUAAGCAGAUCCAAACGUUUAAGGUUCGAAUAACUAAUCAAAAAUAGACGAGCUUUAGCAUAUAAAGUAUAAAGUAAAAUAUAAGGUCUGCUAGUUGAUAUUAGAGCAUAUUGAAUAUAUAAUUUAAAAAAUAAUAUCAAUGAUUUCCUCUCACAUGUGGUAAGACUAAUUGAAAUUAAUAAAUAUUCCGAGGCUUAGUACUAUAUUGGACUUUGAACAAAUUUAAUUAAUUUACAAAAUAUUAAAUAAAAUACAAAAAUCCAAUAUAACUAUCACAGCGGCUAACGAUGUGCGUGAAUACAAUGUCUAAAUAAUAUUUAUCAACAAAUUAUUAACCCUAGCUAGCCAUGAAGACACAAGGUUCCAGAAAACGUAAGAAAUACGAAAAAUCUUACACUUUUUGUUAAGCAAAUUAAAACAUAUUUGAGUAUUGUAAAUAAGUGAAUCUCUCCAACACUGUGAUAAAUAAUUGAUAAAUAAUCGAGGGCAGAGCUGUUAAGUACUGUUUAUACAGAGAUAAAUAAAUGUUUUAAAAAAAUGUAUAGAGGCAAUUAUUCCCUUCUCUAUGAAAAUAUCAAGGCUAUAGAAGUUCCACUACAUGAAUUAAUAACUAUAUAAGAAAAACCCUUUACGAGUGCCUUUUCGUUACUUUGACUGUUUCAAUUUAGUGUAAGUCGAACGAAAUAAAUAGCCUGAUAUUUUGACAUGUUAUAGCUUCAGUCUAAACACGACAAUUAAAUUUCAAAAAUGGAGUCUGAAGAAUACAAAUUAGUGAAAAAUGAAAUAUUACGUAAUGAAAUUGUUCAAGCAACCACAAGAGCACCGUCCGACUUAUUACACCAUCAGAACAAAUAAACCAAAUUUUUGAAAAAUUUAUCAGAAAAAUCAGAAAAGUUAGGAGUACAAACUCAAUUGGAGGCCAUGCUACAUACCACGAAACACCGACAUAAGCAAAUAUUUCAAAUUAACAUGAUAUAAAGCAAAGAAAUCGAGAGUAUUAAAUAAAAUGUAUAUCGAUAAAUUCGUAGUAAAAGCACCAGAUGAACAACACUUUCUUAUGACCGAACAACAAGCGGUAGACAUACAUACCAUAGGUAAAGCUCCUUUCAAAAUAGCCAAAUAGCUACUUUUUUAAAAUUAUCCAAUCGAAACAACUAAAUCAAUUUUAGAAAGAUGUUACGUAUUAAAAUUGACAUGUCUUAUAAAAAAAAAUUGGUUAUUUUUGUAAAUAUCGUUUUAUUGGAACAGUUUCUACAAACGUGCAAAUUUUCGAAAAAAUCGGACAGACUUUUUACUUCCUAAUACAAAGAAAUUGGAAUCAAACUACUCAGAUGGAUUAGACUGAAUAAUUGUUCUUUAAAUUUAGUGCAAACACCCGUUUAGUUGUUACCUUUAAAUUCAGAAGCGUAAGAAAAAAUAAAAUAUAAAAAUGUUCCCAUAUAAGUGGUGACGCUGUCUAAACAACAACAAUAUCGAAUUAACAUUAAUACAUUUUUUACAUCAACAGCAAUCGCACUUUAAAACACUGAGUAAAUUGCUCAUCAAUUAUGCUUUUAAAAAUUUGAACAUAAAAAAGUUUUAUUUAAUGGAUCAGUUAAAAUAAACUUUUGUCAGAAAUAAAAGCUCUUAAAACGUCAAAUAAAAAGUCAUUUUUUGAGUUCGUUAAAUUUUAUUUAGAAAUGUUCCA